AGGAGCAAUUCACAUUAAAUGGGGAGGCAGCCCCAACCAAAGUCCUGUUCUUAGCUAACUCUAUCAUUGCAACCUGCCAAGACUUCUAAUUUAAUCACAAUUCCAUAUUAUGGAACAGCUAAAUUAACUUCUGAAUAAGUCAUAUGGUUCAGAGCUUGCCUUGCCAGCCUUGCAUGGGUUUUUUGGCAGAUCCUAAUCAUCAUGGUGACUCUAAAGACUGCAGUAAACAAGGACUGGUGUUAUCAACGUCAAAUUGCGAAAUACAGCUCUGUCCAUCUCACAGUCAGGACAGCAGAUUCCAUCCUGUGAAGAAGCUUGCCAAGCUGUGGGGCCAGCUCCUUGCUAGUUAGGUAGAGCAAUGUCAGAAGCAGUGGAAGGGUGCCAAUUCACACACGCAUAACCUGAAUUGUGCCAGUGAUGUGUUGCUUUUCUCAUCUUUGUUCCUUGUUGCUUUCCAAAACUGGGCUACUUUUGCUGUUGUCCUGACCUCUAAGGGGAGUAUUUUUCACUUCGACCAGGAAAUUGUAUAAGCCUCUCAGACCAGGCUCGUAAGGUUUUGUAACUGUUUUACAUAAGUACAUUUGAUUAUACUAUGGGAAAACAAGAUUUACUUUGCUGGGACUAGCAGAGCAAGUGGAGAGGUGUUAAGUUCAAGUGCCAGUGGGUUACCAGAUUUGGCAUCACCUCAGUUAGGUUGGAUCUUUCCAGGUAAACUAAAUUAUUUCCUUAGAAAGCAGAGAUAGCAACACGCAGAGAUGGAAACUGUAGAUCACCUUUUUGCCUGCUGCCUUCAGCUGAGCUUUUUGGAAGAAAUGAAACAAAAAAUGGAUUACAAUUAAGUGAUGGACAUGCCAAGCCAUGCUUGUGUAGGGAUAUAAGCAUGUGGCUAUGUAAUGGGAAAUGAGAAUCGAGAACCUGCCAAAGAGAGGAAAGCAGACACAAAAACUGCAUGAAGACACUUCAUACAACCUAACACAAGGAACUGAAGGAACAACAGUGCAAAAAACUUCAAAAGCAGGUUGAGCACUGUUACAGGGAGCAGAUUGCAGCCUAAUCACAGCUCUGACUCUGCAUAUGCCGUAUCCUAUCCAGGGAACCUGGCUUCACAAAGUUACAGAUGGCAGAAACAGAAACUCAGCUCUCCACUUUGAACUCUGCUGUCUUAAAGCAACUGUUGAAAUCUGCUGCCUCCCCUCAAUAUCUGAGCGUCCUAAUGAGGAAUAAACAAAAGCAUUGAGGGCAAAAGAGAGAACCCCCUGCCUGCCAGAAAUCUGUUGGAUAAUUGGGGAUUCUGUGGGUAGCGGAAGGUGCAAUCUCCCAGGAGUCUGUGUCUUCACUGGCUGGAUGCAGAGGGCAUGGUCUGGAGAGCAGGGAGAGGGACCAGUAUCGCUGAGAUGUGGAGCAGCUGUGGGUGUGUGACACAGAAGAGCAAGAUGCACUGUGUGUCUCCUGAUGGAAGAUGCAAAAGGCUAGAAGGCAUCCAUUUUUGUGACUUGUCAUCCCAGUUUCAAGGUAGGGAGAUUGUAAUCUUAACCACCGGCAUUUUCUUGAGCUCUGCACCUUUCUCCUACCUUCUUUUCAGAAACAUCUUGGGCAGGAAGCCAAUCUCACAUUUAUUCUUUUUUUCUUCUUAAUGCUUAGCUAAUUGGAGACGUAUGUAUGGAAGCUGCAUUCUAGUGCCACUGCGGCAGGAGCCCAUCUGGAACCCUACACACCAUCUGAAGGAAGAUGAAGCCUCAGAGCUGUCAGAAGAUUUAAUUGACAUAAGACAGUUGUGGACAGAAGAGAACCUUUUGCUCUCCUGACAAUAAGAAGUCCAAGAGGUGACUUCACUUCAGUGGCAGAAGUGCUGUCAGGACCCACACCUUUGGAGAUCUGGAGGCUAAAAGGUUUCUGUACUUCAUGUGGAGAAAGACACACCAAAAGCCUUAGAAGAAAUCUGAACUACAGCAACAG